CCUACGGGAGGCAGCAGUGAGGAAUAUUGGUCAAUGGACGAGAGUCUGAACCAGCCAAGUAGCGUGAAGGAUGACUGCCCUAUGGGUUGUAAACUUCUUUUAUAUGGGAAUAAAACGUUCCACGUGUGGGAUUUUGUAUGUACCCUAUGAAUAAGGAUCGGCUAACUCCGUGCCAGCAGCCGCGGUAAUACGGAGGAUCCGAGCGUUAUCCGGAUUUAUUGGGUUUAAAGGGAGCGUAGGUGGAUUGUUAAGUCAGUUGUGAAAGUUUGCGGCUCAACCGUAAAAUUGCAGUUGAAACUGGCAGUCUUGAGUACAGUAGAGGUGGGCGGAAUUCGUGGUGUAGCGGUGAAAUGCUUAGAUAUCACGAAGAACUCCGAUUGCGAAGGCAGUUCACUGGACUGCAACUGACACUGGGGCUCGAAAGUGUGGGUAUCAAACAGGAUUAGAUACCCGUGUAGUC
rnacentral:rRNA from 1 species